rnacentral:rRNA from 1 species
AGGUGGAGCCUGCGGUUUAAUCGGACUCAACGCCGGGAAAACUCACCAGAUAAGACAGCUGAAUGAUAGUCGGGCUGAAGACUCUACUUGACUAGCUGAGAGGAGGUGCAUUGGCCGUCGUCAGUUCGUACUGUGAAGCAUCCUGUUAAGUCAGGCAACGAGCGAGACCCACGCCAACAGUUGCCAGCUCGUCCUCCGGGAUGGUGGGGACACUGUUGGGACCGCCUCUGCUAAAGAGGAGGAAGGAAUGGGCAACGGUAGGUCAGCAUGCCCCGAAUUAUCUGGGCUACACGCGGGCUACAAUGGGUGGGACAAUGGGUAUCGACACCGAAAGGUGAAGGCAAUCUCCUAAACCCAUCCUUAGUUCGGAUUGUGGGCUGCAACUCGCCCACAUGAAGCUGGAAUCUGUAGUAAUCGUGUCUCAAAAUGGCACGGUGAAUACGUCCCUGCUCCUU